ACAGGAUGUAAUAGUGUGAGCCAAUCGGCAAAAUGCAGAUGCUUGUCAAGCAAAGUGAGACAUCGUCAUGGAGGUGGAUGCAGAACCGUCUGUCGUCAUCCGAGCACGCAAAACGAUGACUGCCGACCGUUUGCUUCAAUGUCAGGUCCUCGAUCUUCUGUCUCAGCUGGCGAAUUUGGAUCAGGAACCGCUUCGUAGUUAAGGUCCUGUAUUAUUUGCCAAACUUUAUAACCCAUUUGUACAGUAUGUACAGGGUGUUCCAAAAGUCACUAUCCACUUCCUGUUUUGUUUCAGGUAUCAUUCAGACAGAUGGGGAAGCCAUCAACUUUUGACAGCUCAGGCUUUGCAAGUUUUUUUUGUUGUUUUUUUUUUAGCAUCUCAUUUCCUUGCCCAUGGCUCGCCAACUGACAUUGGAGCAGCGUUGCAAAAUUGCCUCCCAGCAAGACGUUUUUCUGUCCACGACUAUAGUUCAACGCCAGUUUGAGAAGCUUUAUGGCCGUCACACAGCUCCAACGUGUAGUUACAAUUUACGCUGUCCGUGGCAAGUUUCUCCAAACGAGAUGUAUUCUCCACAAACCACACAGUGGAAGGCCUGCUACUACUUCCCCCACUGAUGAAAACUCCAAACUCUUAGAGCAGGCGUCCAUGUGAAGCCAAGACAGUUUCCAUGAAAGUAGUGGCUCAGGCUUGGGAUUUGCCUCGUCUCCGGUUACGGCGCUCCUCGUGGAUCCUUUCUGCUUUACCCGUGUUUCUGAGGGCGCAACCUACAUUUUUGUGUUCGGUUUUAUGUUUCAGGCAAAUUGUCUACAGAGUCAUUUGCGUCAAAGCCCACCUUCAUGUUGAAACCCCCUGCUGAAAUCCCUCCACGUGGGUCUCCUAUUUGCGACUAUGUCGUGAUGAGCCGAAGCUGUGAUAAUACAUCCCGGCACGUCAUCGGGGGCCCGCGGCCUGUCACUCGCACGCACGUGCCCCUGUUCCCGUCAGGCCCCCCGAACAGAGGGCGUCUUGUAAAACGUGACGUGCCAGUGCGGAAGAUCAGAGCUUGUGCAGUCGCUCGGGAAUGCGCUCUUUGAUUUUCGCCACAAUGAACGUUGUCAAUCUGCGUCACGGCCUCACGACGGAUAAACUUGCCUGGUGUGUGUGUGUUUGUGCGUACGAGUCUUCGCUGACGACACACACACACCUGCGUGAAGAACACGCCUCGACGCAGGCCUGUGUGUGGCGUGGAGGAGACGCCACCGAGUCUGGGCUGCGUUCGAGAGCGUUGAAUGCUUUGAGAAUGUUUGUAUUAAGAGAGACAUGGCGAGGACCCAUCCCUUUGCCCCAUGACUGCAGGGCUCGCCUUUGUUCUUGGCUCGUUGUACAGACGUAAUUACAAGCCUGGCAGGGCCUCCUGUCCUCUGUCUGUGUGUGUGCACGCACGUUCUCAUGCAAUGCUUCUUUUCUCGACUGUAAUAAAACUAAAAGAUGUCUGCUCAUUUUACAAAUGUGUUUUCACCUCUUUCUCAAGAAGGAGCACACAUUUGAGUGGCGGCUCUUAAUAUUUUCAAAUCAGGGAAGCCAAUGAUUUAUGUCAGUCGAAGAGCCGUAACUUGGAACGCCGUGGCUGUCAACGGUAAAAAUGUUAACCCCAAAUGGACAAGAGAGGACACGCACUUUGAGAAUAACGAGCGAUACAAUUGAAUCAUAACUUGCUUCAAAAGGAGACGGUUCAAAUGCAACGUAAUAACUAACUUUAUGCACGUGAACAUGCAGUUAUCAUCUGCCUUGUGCAACUGGUGACCCCCCUCCCCCCAACCACAGACAUCUUGCUUUGUCUCACAGCAUAGUGAGAGGAACAAGGUGUACUUUCUUAUCCUUGCUUCAUGAGGUUAUAGUUAACAUGAAACCCAUUUUAUGAGUGCAAAGGCAUAUAUCUUCUAACAGUGGCCUCAUGUAAGUGCAAUGCGAAACUGCAUGAAAUAGGUUCAGUGUUGUUCUUGGCUGUGUUUUGUCGUUUGUCUCAUGGUAAUGGUGUUUUUCUAAAAAUAGAAAAAUAAAUUGAAAGUAUCCCGCA